UGCUGCUACUCUUACGCCUUGUUCCCGAGUUCUACUUGAGGAGGGAAAUGGAAGGAUACAUAAAGAAACUGAGGUGUGUCGAAGGAAAAUCAUGUUUUUAAGUUUCAUUAAUGGAAGGAAAGUGAGGAGAGGGAAAGGAUUUUUGAGUCAUAUUUUCCUUUCAAAUUUUCCUCCCAAAUUAGAUGGAUUUGGGAAAAAAGUAAGGGGAAGGAAAAUUUGAAGUUUUAUUUUCUUUUUCUUCCUAACUCGGGAAUACAAAAACUUAAAAUUUUCUUUUCAUUUCUGUUAAUUUCCUUCGAACUUGGGAAGACAGAAUAAUGAAUAUUUUCCUUGCCUUUAAAAAAAAAAAAAAAAAAAAAACUCGAGAACAAGGCGUAAUCUCGGUUCUUCAAUUUUCCCCCUCCGGUAAACAUCAUCACCACCACCAGCAGUCACCAUCCUCUCUCUCUCUCUCUCUCUCUCUCUCUCUCUCUCUCUCCAGAACGCUUCGAACUGAAAAAACCCUCACCGGAAGUGCUCUUUGUUUCUUCUUUGGCGAUGGCAACCGAUCUGUAAAGGAGGGUUUUCUUCGAGCUAGGGUUUGUUGAGGAAGAUGACGAAGGACCUCCCUUCUCGUCGGGCCUCCCUUUCACAUAUCGGAGGUAUCCGAUCUCAACACAUCCAAGGAUUUUCAUUACCACUUGCGUCAACGAUCGAAUCGGAGGAGAAGGCGAAGGGCGGCGAGUGGCGAUAGGGUUUUUGUCAGUGAUUUUUUCCUUCCAGAUCUUGAAACCAACAAGGAACUUCGAAUCUAUAAUGUGAUCUCUUUCGGUCGUAGCUCAACAUCUUUGUCGGAGGAGCGAGGGUUUUAGACGGUGGUUUCAAAGUUGGAUUAUUUGUUGUUUGCAGAUGACCGACAACACAAAACCAUGUCUCUUCGGAUAUCGAUUUGUCUUCCUGAUUGAAGGUUGGUGGUGACGGAGAAUAUGGGGGCUAAAUAUGAAAACCCUAAUUAGAUUAUUCAUGGGAUUUAAACUGUGGUGGUGGUGACUUUUUACAUGUGUAUGUGGUAUAGACAGGCGAUGGUGGUGACAAUUAAAGGAGGCAGCGAAAUGGGUGACACUAAUGGCGUUCAGAUCAGAGGUGUUCUGAUCGGUUAUGGUGGGUUCUCAUAAUCAUUCAUGAGGUGGUGAAGAUUACGGGUGUCAGAAAAUCGAUGUUGGUGGUGUUGAACUGGUGGUAGGUGAUGCAGGUGGUGGUCCGAAAAAUUAGGCUUGAAUUCAUCAAAAUUUUUAUACUCUUUUAUUCUAAGCUCGUGGGGAUGUUAGACGGGUGGUGGUGAUGGUGGUCCAAUGGUAGUUUGGUGGUGUUCCAAUGGUGAUACGGUGACUGCUCCGGGGGUGUUCCUAGAUCUCCGACGACUUGCUCAGUUUCAGUUUCAGGUUUGCAUCAUGGAUCAAUUAAAGGUUCAAGUUCAAUUCAUUAUGGUGAUUACAGUAAUACGCUUCACUGUAGUCGGAUAAGAAAGUUGUGGGGGAGGUGGAGGUGGAGCAGGAGCAGACACAGUCAAUGUGUGAGAUUUUCCGGUGACUGAACACAAUGAGGGUAUGGUGGUGUAGGCUCUUGAAUUAUACCGAUAUAUAUAUAUAUAUAUAUAUAUAUAUAUAUAUAUAUAUAUAUAUAUAUAUACACUAUAUAUAUAUACUAGUUUAGUUUAUAACCACGGUUAUACAAUUAAUUAAACUUUAAUAGUUAAAAUUUAAAAUUAUUAAUAAUUUAUUUUAAACAAAUUAUUAAUUAAGAGGUAUUUUUAGUUAUAUAAAAUUAUAAUCAUUGAUUUAAAUAAAUAUAUAAAAUUAUACCACUUUGUAAUUUGUAUUAAUUUUAUUUUAAUUUUUAUACUAAUGUUGUUAAUUUAAUGUAAUUAUAAUGAGAAAUUUAAAAUUUGAAAUUUGAAAUGGAGAAUUAAUAUGUUGACAAAUGGUAUGUAUUAAUUAUAAGACAUAAUAAGUUGAAACAUGACAAAAGAAAAAUAAAAUUUGCAUUAAUUAUUAGGAUUAAUAUGGUGACACAUGUCAAAAGGAGAUUAAAAACUACUCUUUUAUUAGAAUAUAUAUAUAUAUAUAUAUAUAUAUAUAUAUAUAAUAGUUCUUCAACGUUUAAUUAAUAUGUUUUAUUUAACUGGUGAUUUAAAAUAGAUAAAAGAAGACAGUAAGGGUAGAUAAGUCUUUUUAGAACGAACAGGGACCAAACGUGCAAUAAAAAUAUAAAUUAAGGACUAUCCGAGUUAAAAAAAAAAAACUUUUUAGGAACCAAACACGCAGAUUAUCCUAAACCACAUGGACCAUUCAUGUAAUUUACCUUAUAUAUAUAUAUAACUAACAUCAUUUCCCAUUUAUUAAUUGCAUUUCAUACGACUUUCUUUGUCGUCCUGACAAUGUUGAUGGAUCAAUUUCUAAUAAUUUCCUUGUUACUUUACUUUUUUCCGCCCAUCUUUUUUCAUAUUGUGGUUUUUUAAACUUAUGUAUUCUUUCAUUGUGUUCAUUGUUUCCAUCUCAAUAUUAAUUUGGGUUUACAUUGUAUCUUUUAUACUUUCAAGUUUCAAGAGAGGUGCUUCACAUAGGUUUUUGCAUCCCUUUACCUUUAGAGGAUUUUCUUCCGAUUAGACAAAUAUUUGAUAUUGGCUCAUUAAUUGAUAUGUUUCUAUUUGAAGACGAUGAUGUAUAUUCACCGGAUAUACUAUUCUUAGUCCUAUUUGGUUCAAUACCUUCAAUUUCGUUGGAAUCUCUUUGUCUUUCUUGUAUACUAGUACACCACUUCUCUUCAUCACAUAAUGUCAUCCAAGCAUAUAAAAAAAUUAAUCGUAUGGUGAAAUAUAUAUUGCUAGAGACAUUUUUUUAUUCUUCAUUUAACCCACUUUCAUGCCUAUAUUGGAAUUGUUCAUAACACACAAUAAAUUUAGAAACAACAUGAUUCAGUCUGCUCCAA